AAAUUGAAGAGUUUGAUCAUGGCUCAGAUUGAACGCUGGCGGCAGGCCUAACACAUGCAAGUCGAGCGGUAGCACAGAGAGCUUGCUCUCGGGUGACGAGCGGCGGACGGGUGAGUAAUGUCUGGGAAACUGCCUGAUGGAGGGGGAUAACUACUGGAAACGGUAGCUAAUACCGCAUAACGUCGCAAGACCAAAGUGGGGGACCUUCGGGCCUCAUGCCAUCAGAUGUGCCCAGA
rnacentral:rRNA from 1 species